AUUGAACGCUGGCGGCAGGCCUAACACAUGCAAGUCGAGCGAGCGGCGGACGGGUGAGUAAUGUAUGGGGAUCUGCCCGAUGGAGGGGGAUAACUACUGGAAACGGUGGCUAAUACCGCAUACCAUCGGAUGAGCCAAGAUGGGAUUAGCUAGUAGGUGGGGUAAAGGCUCACCUAGGCGACGAUCUCUAGCUGGUCUGAGAGGAUGAUCAGCCAAAAUGUGACUGAGACACGGUCCAGACUCCUACGGGAGGCAGCAGUGGGGAAUAUUGCACAAGGGGCGCAAGCCUGAUGCAGCCAUGCCGGGUGUAUGAAGAAGGCCUUAGGGUUGUAAAGUACUUUCAGCGGGGAGGCGUUACUCGCAGAAGAAGCACCGGCUAACUCCGUGCCAGGAGCCGCGGUAAUUC
rnacentral:rRNA from 1 species